rnacentral:lncRNA from 1 species
AUGUCCUUUAUUUGCUCCCAUUUGCUAAGAAAAUUGUUUUCUGUGGUUCCUCUAGAUUGGAUGUGGGGCUACCAGGCCAUGGGGAGCACACACAUGGAUAACAUGGAUAUUACCAGAUGCCAAGAGUCUGCAAAACAGCCAGUGAAGCUCCCCAGAGAGAGAGAAUAAAAACUCCCCUUUUCUGCCAGUUCUAUUUUCACAACAGGAAUUUCUUGAGGUCCCAGAAAAGCAAGGCGGAGGGAGCUGGGCAGGAAACAAAGAACAGUAAGUACUGUUAGUUCCACUUAUCUGUUGCAUGCUAGAGGAAGGCACUGAGUACGGAUGGCUAGGAUUCUUUGCAGACCCUUUAUCUUCACAGUCAGAGACAUACAG